rnacentral:misc_RNA from 1 species
UACGUUUUGACGUCAUCAACACAAACCCACGUGCAACCUCCAUAGCAGACGACGCAAGUCGCUGAACGCCGGAGAAAGGAAACCUGAACAAUCCAACCAGAUUCAGUGUUGGUAAUUUUGUUUCAAAAGUAUAUCUAGACUGUAUUUUAUCACUGUUUUGCAACGGACUCUAUAUAGAUUUGCCGACGAUAGACUAUUUUUACUGUCAUGGCCCGUACCAAACAAGCCCCCAAACUGAAUUUUGAAAACGGCCAGUCAUCCCUUCAGAAAUUACUAGUUACAAAGAGAAACCGUAAUACAGUAAACAUUUCGUCCACACUUGGAAAAACUGGAGGAAUUAAGAAGCCUAGACGAUGGAGAGCAGGUACAAAUGCUCUCAAAGAAAUUAGAAUGUACCAGAGGAGCACAGCUUUGGUCCUGAAGAAACUCCCCUUCCAAAGACUGGUGAAGGAGAUUGCUGGUAAAAUCCAGUCAGGGCUGAGGAUGCAGAUGCCAGCUCUACUGGCACUUCAGGAAGCCACUGAAGCAUUUAUGGUGGGUUUAUUCAUGGAUGUCAAUCUUUGUGCCAUUCAUGCCAAGAGGGUGACCAUCAUGCCACAAGAUGUGAAACUGGCCCUCCGCAUUAGAGGAGGACCAAAAGGAAAUUGUAAGAGGAUCUGUUCUUGAUUCACAUGUACAUGUUGCCGGGGAUGCGACCAUAUGGAAGGCCAUGAUACAUUACUGAGGAAAGCUCUGUCGGAGAUAAUCCCAGAGGCUGGAUUACAAGCGAUAUGAGUGUGUU